GACGAACCGUGCGAACGUUGUUCGGAUUCACUGGGCUUAAAGGGCGCGUAGGCGGAUGGUCAAGUCGGGGGUGAAAUCUUUCAGCUUAACUGGAAAAGUGCCUCCGAUACUGACUGUCUCGAGGGAGGUAGGGGCAUGUGGAACUUCCGGUGGAGCGGUGAAAUGCGUAGAUAUCGGAAGGAACGCCGGUGGCGAAGGCGGCUCUCUGGGACGGUACUGACGCUGAGACGCGAAAGCGUGGGGAGCGAACAGG
rnacentral:rRNA from 1 species